rnacentral:rRNA from 1 species
UGAACGCUGGCGGCGUGCCUAACACAUGCAAGUCGAACGAGAAGUUAACCACUGAUUCCUUCGGGAUGAGGAGGUUAGCGGAAAGUGGCGAACGGGUGAGUAACGCGUGGGUAAUCUACCCUGUAAGUGGGGGAUAACCCUCCGAAAGGAGGGCUAAUACCGCAUAAUAUCUUCACUUCUAAAAGAAGAGAAGAUUAAAGAUGGCCUCUGUCUUAAGCUAUCACUUCAGGAUGAGCCUGCGUCCUAUUAGUUAGUUGGUGGGGUAAUGGCCUACCAAGACCACAAUGGGUAGCCGGUCUGAGAGGAUGUACGGCCACACUGGGACUGAGAUACGGCCCAGACUCCUACGGGAGGCAGCAGUGGGGAAUAUUGCGCAAUGGGGGAAACCCUGACGCAGCGACGCCGCGUGGAUGAUGAAGGCCUUUGGGUUGUAAAAUCCUGUUUUGGGGGAAGAAACCUUAAGGGUCCAAUAAACCCUUGAAUUGACGGUACCCCAAGAGAAAGCUCCGGCUAAUUAUGUGCCAGCAGCCGCGGUAAUACAUAAGGAGCAAGCGUUAUCCGGAAUUAUUGGGCGUAAAGAGCUCGUAGGCGGUCUUAAAAGUCAGGUGUGAAAUCAUCAGGCUCAACCUGAUAAGGUCAUCUGAAACUUUAAGACUUGAGGAUAGAAGAGGAAAGUGGAAUUCCCGGUGUAGCGGUGAAAUGCGUAGAUAUCGGGAGGAAUACCAGUGGCGAAGGCGGCUUUCUGGUCUAUUUCUGACGCUGAGGAGCGAAAGCUAGGGGAGCAAACGGGAUUAGAUACCCCGGUAGUCCUAGCUGUAAACGAUGGAUACUAGGUGUGGGAGGUAUCGACCCCUUCUGUGCCGUAGCUAACGCAUUAA